UAAUACGAAGGGGGCUAGCGUUGUUCGGAAUUACUGGGCGUAAAGGGCGCGUAGGCGGCGCAUUAAGUCAGGUGUGAAAGCCCUGGGCUCAACCCAGGAAUUGCACUUGAUACUGAUGUGCUUGAAUCCGGAAGAGGAUGACGGAAUUCCCAGUGUAGAGGUGAAAUUCAUUGAUAUUGGGAAGAACACCAGUGGCGAAGGCGGUCAUCUGGUCCGGUAUUGACGCUGAGGCGCGAAAGCGUGGGGAGCAAACAGG
rnacentral:rRNA from 1 species